rnacentral:RNase_P_RNA from 1 species
AAAGUUUGACAGACAAUCGCUGGUGAUGCAAAUCACGAGAGGAAAGUCCGGGCUCCACAGGGCAGGAUGCUGGAUAACGUCCAGUCAACGCGAGUUGAAGGAUAGUGCCACAGAAAUGGACCGCCGAUGGCCGCUUUAUGCGGAUCAGGCAAGGAUGGAACCGUGGUGUAAGAGACCACGAGGAACGCUGGUGACUUCGUUCCUGGUAAACCCCAUCUGGAGCAAGACCUAAUGGGACGCAAGCAGCUUUCGAGGCUGCAGCCUUAGCCCGAGGUGCGUCUGGGUUGGUCGCUGGAACUGUGCAGCAAUGUACAGUCUAGAUAGAUGAUUGUCACUUACAAGUGGGAGGGUAGCCCCCGUAUUACCACGGUAAGUACAGAACCCGGCUUACGGCGAACUUUCCAC